rnacentral:rRNA from 1 species
GACGAACGCUGGCGGUGUGCUUCACACAUGCAAGUCGAACGAGGCAGCAAUACCUAGUGGCGGACGGGUGAGUAACGCGUGGGAAUCUGCCUUUAGAUGGGGGAUAACGGGUCGAAAGACUCGCUAAUACCGCAUAUGACGAAAGUUGAAAGGAGUAAUCCGUCUAAAGAUGAGCCCGCGUCCGAUUAGCUAGUUGGUAGAGUAAAAGCCUACCAAGGCGACGAUCGGUAGCUGGUCUGAGAGGAUGAUCAGCCACAAUGGGACUGAGACACGGCCCAUACUCCUACGGGAGGCAGCAGUGGGGAAUUUUACGCAAUGGGCGAAAGCCUGACGUAGCGACACCGCGUGAGCGAAGAAGCCCCUUGGGGUGUAAAGCUCUGUCAGCUGGAACGAAAAAAAUGACGGUACCAGCAGAGGAAGCAUCGGCUAACUACGUG